AAUGGGCGCAAGCCUGAUCCAGCCAUCCCGCGUGAAGGAUUAAGGCCCUCUGGGUUGUAAACUUCUUUUCUCUGGGAAUAAAAAGUGGGGUUCUCCCUACCUUGAAGGUACCAGAGGAAUAAGCACCGGCUAACUCCGUGCCAGCAGCCGCGGUAAUACGGAGGGUGCAAGCGUUAUCCGGAUUCACUGGGUUUAAAGGGUGCGUAGGUGGCUUUGUAAGUCAGUGGUGAAAGCCCGGAGCUCAACUCCGGAACUGCCAUUGAUACUGCUUAGCUUGAAUCAACUUGAGGUGGAUGGAAUAUUACAUGUAGCGGUGAAAUGCUUAGAUAUGUAAUAGAACACCGAUUGCGAAGGCAGUUCACUAAGGUUGUAUUGACACUGAGGCACGAAAGCGUGGGGAUCAAA
rnacentral:rRNA from 1 species